rnacentral:rRNA from 1 species
GAUCAUGGCUCAGGAUGAACGCUAGCUACAGGCUUAACACAUGCAAGUCGAGGGGCAGCAUGGUCUUAGCUUGCUAAGGCCGAUGGCGACCGGCGCACGGGUGAGUAACGCGUAUCCAACCUGCCUUACACUCUUGGACAGCCUUCUGAAAGUAAGACUAAUGCCCAAUGACAUCCCACGAAGGCAUCCGAAUGGGAUUAAAGAUUUAUCGGUGAUGGAUGGGG